rnacentral:tRNA from 1 species
GGCACGAUGACCGAGUGGCCUAAGGUGCUUGACUCGAAAUCAAGUCUCUUCGGAGGCGCAGGUUCAAAUCCUGCUCGUGUCG